rnacentral:rRNA from 1 species
GAUGAACGCUAGCUACAGGCUUAACACAUGCAAGUCGAGGGGCAGCGCAGUGUAGUAAUACAUGGGCGGCGACCGGCGCACGGGUGCGUAACGCGUAUCCAACCUUCCCGUUACUCAGGGAUAGCCUUCCGAAAGGGAGAUUAAUACCUGAUGGUGUUCAAAUUCCGCAUGUUAUUUGAACUAAAGAUUUAUCGGUAACGGAUGGGGAUGCGUGACAUUAGGUAGAUGGCGGGGUAACGGCCCACCAUGCCCACGAUGUCUAGGGGUUCUGAGAGGAAGGUCCCCCCACACUGGAACUGAGACACGGUCCAGACUCCUACGGGAGGCAGCAGUGAGGAAUAUUGGUCAAUGGUCGGAAGACUGAACCAGCCAAGUAGCGUGAAGGAUGAAGGUUCUAUGGAUUGUAAACUUCUUUUAUACGGGAAUAAAACCUCCCACGUGUGGGAGCUUGUAUGUACCGUAUGAAUAAGCAUCGGCUAACUCCGUG